UUGAAGAGUUUGAUCAUGGCUCAGAUUGAACGCUGGCGGCAGGCCUAACACAUGCAAGUCGAGCGGUAGCACAGAGAGCUUGCUCUCGGGUGACGAGCGGCGGACGGGUGAGUAAUGUCUGGGAAACUGCCUGAUGGAGGGGGAUAACUACUGGAAACGGUAGCUAAUACCGCAUAAUGUCGCAAGACCAAAGUGGGGGACCUUCGGGCCUCAUGCCAUCAGAUGUGCCCAGAUGGGAUUAGCUAGUAGGUGGGGUAACGGCUCACCUAGGCGACGAUCCCUAGCUGGUCUGAGAGGAUGACCAGCCACACUGGAACUGAGACACGGUCCAGACUCCUACGGGAGGCAGCAGUGGGGAAUAUUGCACAAUGGGCGCAAGCCUGAUGCAGCCAUGCCGCGUGUGUGAAGAAGGCCUUCGGGUUGUAAAGCACUUUCAGCAGGGAGGAAGGCGAUAAGGUUAAUAACCUUGUCGAUUGACGUUACCCGCAGAAGAAGCACCGGCUAACUCCGUGCCAGCAGCCGCGGUAAUACGGAGGGUGCAAGCGUUAAUCGGAAUUACUGGGCGUAAAGCGCACGCAGGCGGUCUGUCAAGUCGGAUGUGAAAUCCCCGGGCUCAACCUGGGAACUGCAUUCGAAACUGGCAGGCUAGAGUCUUGUAGAGGGGGGUAGAAUUCCAGGUGUAGCGGUGAAAUGCGUAGAGAUCUGGAGGAAUACCGGUGGCGAAGGCGGCCCCCUGGACAAAGACUGACGCUCAGGUGCGAAAGCGUGGGGAGCAAACAGGAUUAGAUACCCUGGUAGUCCACGCCGUAAACGAUGUCGAUUUGGAGGUUGUGCCCUUGAGGCGUGGCUUCCGGAGCUAACGCGUUAAAUCGACCGCCUGGGGAGUACGGCCGCAAGGUUAAAACUCAAAUGAAUUGACGGGGGCCCGCACAAGCGGUGGAGCAUGUGGUUUAAUUCGAUGCAACGCGAAGAACCUUACCUGGUCUUGACAUCCACAGAACUUAGCAGAGAUGCUUUGGUGCCUUCGGGAACUGUGAGACAGGUGCUGCAUGGCUGUCGUCAGCUCGUGUUGUGAAAUGUUGGGUUAAGUCCCGCAACGAGCGCAACCCUUAUCCUUUGUUGCCAGCGGUCCGGCCGGGAACUCAAAGGAGACUGCCAGUGAUAAACUGGAGGAAGGUGGGGAUGACGUCAAGUCAUCAUGGCCCUUACGACCAGGGCUACACACGUGCUACAAUGGCAUAUACAAAGAGAAGCGACCUCGCGAGAGCAAGCGGACCUCAUAAAGUAUGUCGUAGUCCGGAUUGGAGUCUGCAACUCGACUCCAUGAAGUCGGAAUCGCUAGUAAUCGUAGAUCAGAAUGCUACGGUGAAUACGUUCCCGGGCCUUGUACACACCGCCCGUCACACCAUGGGAGUGGGUUGCAAAAGAAGUAGGUAGCUUAACCUUCGGGAGGGCGCUUACCACUUUGUGAUUCAUGACUGGGGUGAAGUCGUAACAAGGUAACCGUAGGGGAACCUGCGGUUGGAUCACCUCCUU
rnacentral:rRNA from 1 species